UCUUUUCUCUCCACCUCAACACUCAUUCUUUCCACUUUCAUUUUGGAGGCUUAAAAAAUGGUAAGUAACCCUUUCAUUUUUCCUUUUGAUUUCUACAGUGCUUUGUUUUGAAGACUUGUGUGUUAUUUGUUUGAGCUUUGGAUUAUGUUUACGGGCUUUAAAGAUAUUAAGUUUACAUGGUUGUUGAUUUGGGCUGCAGAUUUGUGUGAUUUUGACUUACAUAUUAUUGGAUAUUGUUAUUAGGCUUAUUUGAAUCUAUUUGAUUUUUGUUUAUUGGGAUUUUCUUGGUGUUUGGAUGGAUGUUUUGGCACUGCACUGAGAGUGUAAAAACAUGGGAGCAGUUGGAGCAGUUGAAGCAGGGCAUGGGCAAUGACAGAUUGGAGAUGACAGAAUUGGAAACUUCUUGUAUAUAUUCUCAAUUUUCUUUUGUGAAGAGUGAGGACGAGAUAUCCCUCUUUGUGUGUAUUUUU
rnacentral:lncRNA from 1 species